UACAGAGGUGGCAAGCGUUGUUCGGAAUUACUGGGCGUAAAGGGCGCGUAGGCGGUUCGAUAAGUCCCGUGUGAAAUCCCUCGGCUUAACCGGGGAACUGCGUCUGAUACUGGUUGGCUUGAAUCCGGGAGAGGGAUGUGGAAUUCCAGGUGUAGCGGUGAAAUGCGUAGAUAUCUGGAGGAACACCGGUGGCGAAGGCGGCAUCCUGGACCGGUAUUGACGCUGAGGCGCGAAAGCUAGGGGAGCAAACGGG
rnacentral:rRNA from 1 species